GUUUUAGAAAAUGUCAGCAUGCUUAUAUUUAUAGUAUAGUCUUAUGUUAGUAGCUCGAAUUUAUUGAUUUGUAUGUUUUAUAUGAAAUCUGAAUUUGGAGUGUAAGCUAAUGAUUUUAGAUGAAUUUUAUAUUCUAAACUGAGAUUUGAAUUAAGAGAAAACUCAUUAAAUCUACACCCGACACUUUUAAAAAAGUUAACAGAAUUAGCUUGCGGAGCUGUUUUUCUUUUGUAUCACCGCUGUUAGUGCGUCGUGGAUACUUGGUUUAGUGUAGGUUGAGUUUAUACUCGUGUUGAGGGGCCGAGCUCGUUUUACAGCAGAGUUAGGCUAUUUUGUACUGUCGGAUGCCGUCGGGGCUAAUGGUGAACCCAGAUUCCUAUACCUUGCAUCAGAUUGUGCCGAGAGCACGCGAG
rnacentral:lncRNA from 1 species